rnacentral:rRNA from 1 species
UACAGAGGGUGCGAGCGUUGUCCGGAAUCACUGGGCGUAAAGGGCGCGUAGGUGGCGACCCAAGUCCGUGGUGAAAGCUCGUCGCUCAACGACGAGUCGGCCACGGAGACUGGGUGGCUCGAGCACUGUAGGGGCAGAUGGAAUUCCGGGGUGUAGCGGUGGAAUGCGUAGAGAUCCGGAAGAACACCGGUGGCGAAGGCGGUCUGCUGGGCAGUAGCUGACACUGAGGCGCGACAGCGUGGGGAGCAAACAGG